rnacentral:tRNA from 1 species
GAGGUUGUGACUCAGUGGCAGAGUGCUCGCCUCACAUCUGUGAGACCCUGGGUUCUAUCCUCAGCACCACA